GGGUGAAACCUUAAACCCUACAAUCAGCAACUUAACUUCAAACUUUAAACCCUCCUCUCACUGCCAACCGUCCAAGCCUCUCUCUCUCUCUCUCUCAGCUGAAUUUCGAGCGGGGAAGUUAUGGCGGUCGACAAGCACAAGCUCGAGAAAGAAGCGUGCGUUCUUCGAUUUUACAAAAUAGUGCUCAGUUGGGACUACAAUCGCAUAUUGGACGAAGCAGAGAAGCGGCAACGUCAACCGAGACGUGCUCAGGGAUUGAAAGAGGUUAAGAACACGUAUGCAGAUGUUGAUGAAUAUCUUGGGACAUUUGAGCCGCUGCUAUUUGAAGAAGUUAAAGCAAAUAUUGCUCAAAAAAAAGAUGAAGACGAAGAAAGAGUAUGCCAGGAAGCAAUGGUAGCAGAAUGCAGAGAAGUCAAUGAAUUUCAUUUGCCUAUGGUCAUUUGUUCUGACCCAGAGAAAGUAUCUGAAAAUGAUCUAUUAUUGGUUUCGAAUAAGAAGUUUGAAGGCAAAAUACCAAGUGCAUAUGCCUUUGCACUGGUUGAGCAUCGUCAACAAGAUAAGCUAAGACUUCGUCUGUAUUUGGGUGGUGAAGUCAAAAGAUAUAACACGGAUGAAAUUCAAAGUCGCCCAAGGCUAUUGAACAUGCUUCCUGUUGUUUGUGAAGUAAAGAAAAUGUUUUUUCUUGAGAAGAUUUGCAGUUUAUCAACUAUAGUCCGUGAAUAUGUUGCCCUGCAGUCCAUUAGCUAUCUCCCUUUCAAGGAUUUGAUCCUAAACGCAGCUGAAAUUGACAAUGUUACUGAAGAUCGUGCCUGGAAACUAUCUAAACCUUUGAAGGAGUUUAUUGAGAGCAAUCAUAAUAAAUCACAAUUAGAGGCUAUAUACGCAGGUCUUUCACGCAAGUCCUUCGUCUUGAUACAGGGCCCCCCAGGUACAGGAAAAACACAAACCAUUCUUGGGAUUCUAAGUGCCAUUUUGCAUGCUACUCCACCUAGGGUACACUCCAACGGAGGAAAACUGGUUGGAGUAAAACGUGGGCCGGAAUUGCCUAUUCAAGAAAAAUAUAAUCACUGGCAAAAAGCAUCUCCGUGGCUAACUGGAAUCAAUCCUCGAGAUAUGAUCAUGCCUGUAGAUGGAGACGAUGGAUUCUUCCCAACAUCUGGCAAUGAGAUGAAACCAGAAGUGGUCAAUUCAAGCAGAAAAUAUCGUGUUCGUGUUCUUGUAUGUGCUCCAUCAAAUUCUGCCCUUGAUGAAAUUGUCUCACGUAUCCUAAGUACUGGCAUUCGUGAUGAAACUGACCAUGCAUACAGCCCUAAGAUUGUGCGAGUAGGUCUUAAAGCCCACCACUCAGUCCAGGCAGUUUCCAUGGAUUACUUGGUAGAGCAAAAACUUGCGGGCGUGGAUACUCAAGUUGGUGACAAGCAAAAGCAAGGAGGUACAGCAAAGGACAAAGACAGUAUCCGUGCUUCCAUACUGGAUGAAGCAGUGAUUGUUUUCUCCACUCUGAGCUACAGCGGAUCAACUCUAUUUAGUAAAUUGAGUCGGAGUUUUGAUGUUGUCAUAAUUGAUGAAGCUGCUCAAGCUGUGGAGCCAGCUACACUUAUACCACUGGCCAAUGGAUGUAAACAAGUUUUCUUGGUGGGAGAUCCAGUUCAACUGCCAGCCACAGUAAUUUCUCCUGUUGCAGAAAAUUUUAAAUAUGGAAUGAGCUUAUUUAAAAGAUUCCAGGAGGCAGGCUAUCCUGUACAGAUGCUGAAGACCCAAUAUCGCAUGAAUCCAGAGAUUAGGAGCUUCCCUUCAAAGGAAUUUUAUGAAGAUUCAUUGGAGGAUGGACCUGAUGUUGAAGAUCAAACUAGGCGUUCAUGGCACAAUUUCUGUUGCUUUGGGCCAUUUUGUUUCUUUGAUUUACACGAAGGGAAGGAGUCCCAACCGUCGGGAAGUGGUUCUCAUGUAAAUGUUGAUGAAGUCGAGUUUAUCCUUGCUAUGUAUAGCAAAUUAAUUAGUAGCUAUCCAGAGCUUAAGGCAAGUUCUCGACUUGCUAUCAUAUCACCAUAUAGACAUCAAGUCAAGCUCUUCAGAGAGAAGUUCCGUAGCACCUUUGGUGUGCAGUCAGAUAAACUUGUCGAUAUCAACACCGUUGAUGGGUUUCAGGGACGGGAAAAGGAUGUUGCGAUCUUUUCUUGUGUUAGAGCAAAUGAAUCUAAAGCCAUUGGUUUUGUUAAAGAUUUUAGACGAAUGAAUGUUGGCAUUACUCGCGCAAGGUCUUCUGUUCUGGUCGUGGGUUCUGCAUCAACAUUAAGAGGAGAUGACCACUGGAAGAAUCUGAUUGAAAGCGCAGAGAAGAGAAAUGUAUUAUUCAAGGUAUCCAAGCCUUAUGCCGACUUCUUCAGCGAGGCUAGCCUUGAUUCCAUGAAAGCACAGGUGGCCGAGCCCGAGUCCCCGACAGCUCCCAUGGACGAAGAUAUGGAUAUCGCAGUGCCCAUCAAUAUUGAUGGUGGCGUUGAUCCCGGACAAGCUGAAGAUGAUGGCUGGGGAGGAGACGAUGGCGAAGACGCCUAUGAUGGAGACGCAGGUGAUCAACCAUGGGGUUCCGGCGAGCUUGAUGGAGGAGACGAUGAAGGCGAUGAAGGGAUUCUUUGCGACGUCGCCGGAGCACAAGUCCAGCUUCUACUCCACAGACAUGACAAAGAAAUGCAGACUCUACUCUAGCACCUUGAACUACCAAUCCGAAGACGUCCAUUAUUGGAGAGAUAAUCUCACUCACCAUUGUCAUCCUCUCCAACAUCACAUUCACCUGUGGCCACAAAAUCCUUCCAAUUAUAGAGAAGUUGUUGGGGAAUAUUCAAUUGAGACAAAGAAGCUGAUGCUGAGGAUUCUAGAAGCGAUAUCGGAAGGGCUAGGGCUGAAACCUAAAUAUUUAGACGGCGAGAUUAUCAAGAGUCAAGUGCUAUCAGUGAAUCAU